CACGGCGGGUGCUAACGUCCGUCGUGAAGAGGGAAACAACCCAGACCGCCAGCUAAGGUCCCAAAGUCAUGGUUAAGUGGGAAACGAUGUGGGAAGGCCCAGACAGCCAGGAUGUUGGCUUAGAAGCAGCCAUCAUUUAAAGAAAGCGUAAUAGCUCACUGGUCGAGUCGGCCUGCGCGGAAGAUGUAACGGGGCUAAACCAUGCACCGAAGCUGCGGCAGCGACACUGUGUGUUGUUGGGUAGGGGAGCGUUCUGUAAGCCUGUGAAGGUGUGCUGUGAGGCAUGCUGGAGGUAUCAGAAGUGCGAAUGCUGACAUAAGUAACGAUAAAGCGGGUGAAAAGCCCGCUCGCCGGAAGACCAAGGGUUCCUGUCCAACGUUAAUCGGGGCAGGGUGAGUCGACCCCUAAGGCGAGGCCGAAAGGCGUAGUCGAUGGGAAACAGGUUAAUAUUCCUGUACUUGGUGUUACUGCGAAGGGGGGACGGAGAAGGCUAUGUUGGCCGGGCGACGGUUGUCCCGGUUUAAGCGUGUAGGCUGGUUUUCCAGGCAAAUCCGGAAAAUCAAGGCUGAGGCGUGAUGACGAGGCACUACGGUGCUGAAGCAACAAAUGCCCUGCUUCCAGGAAAAGCCUCUAAGCAUCAGGUAACAUCAAAUCGUACCCCAAACCGACACAGGUGGUCAGGUAGAGAAUACCAAGGCGCUUGAGAGAACUCGGGUGAAGGAACUAGGCAAAAUGGUGCCGUAACUUCGGGAGAAGGCACGCUGAUAUGUAGGUGAAGUCCCUCGCGGAUGGAGCUGAAAUCAGUCGAAGAUACCAGCUGGCUGCAACUGUUUAUUAAAAACACAGCACUGUGCAAACACGAAAGUGGACGUAUACGGUGUGACGCCUGCCCGGUGCCGGAAGGUUAAUUGAUGGGGUCAGCGCAAGCGAAGCUCUUGAUCGAAGCCCCGGUAAACGGCGGCCGUAACUAUAACGGUCCUAAGGUAGCGAAAUUCCUUGUCGGGUAAGUUCCGACCUGCACGAAUGGCGUAAUGAUGGCCAGGCUGUCUCCACCCGAGACUCAGUGAAAUUGAACUCGCUGUGAAGAUGCAGUGUACCCGCGGCAAGACGGAAAGACCCCGUGAACCUUUACUAUAGCUUGACACUGAACAUUGAGCCUUGAUGUGUAGGAUAGGUGGGAGGCUUUGAAGUGUGGACGCCAGUCUGCAUGGAGCCGACCUUGAAAUACCACCCUUUAAUGUUUGAUGUUCUAACGUGGACCCGUGAUCCGGGUUGCGGACAGUGUCUGGUGGGUAGUUUGACUGGGGCGGUCUCCUCCUAAAGAGUAACGGAGGAGCACGAAGGUUGGCUAAUCCUGGUCGGACAUCAGGAGGUUAGUGCAAUGGCAUAAGCCAGCUUGACUGCGAGCGUGACGGCGCGAGCAGGUGCGAAAGCAGGUCAUAGUGAUCCGGUGGUUCUGAAUGGAAGGGCCAUCGCUCAACGGAUAAAAGGUACUCCGGGGAUAACAGGCUGAUACCGCCCAAGAGUUCAUAUCGACGGCGGUGUUUGGCACCUCGAUGUCGGCUCAUCACAUCCUGGGGCUGAAGUAGGUCCCAAGGGUAUGGCUGUUCGCCAUUUAAAGUGGUACGCGAGCUGGGUUUAGAACGUCGUGAGACAGUUCGGUCCCUAUCUGCCGUGGGCGCUGGAGAACUGAGGGGGGCUGCUCCUAGUACGAGAGGACCGGAGUGGACGCAUCACUGGUGUUCGGGUUGUCAUGCCAAUGGCACUGCCCGGUAGCUAAAUGCGGAAGAGAUAAGUGCUGAAAGCAUCUAAGCACGAAACUUGCCCCGAGAUGAGUUCUCCCUGACCCUUUAAGGGUCCUGAAGGAACGUUGAAGACGACGACGUUGAUAGGCCGGGUGUGUAAGCGCAGCGAUGCGUUGAGCUAACCGGUACUAAUGAACCGUGAGGCUUAACCUUACAACGCCGAAGGUGUUU
rnacentral:rRNA from 1 species